AUGUCGGUCAAAGACAGGAUAUUUAAUCAAGAAGAUUUUGGUAUUAGAUUGCCCGGACGGUGGAGGAAUUUUAAACUAGAUACACUGAAUCAAGGAAAUCUGAGUUCAUUAUUGAUAUGCUGCAAAGAGCACUAGUGUUAGUGUACGUACGCUGCUGCCACCUUACUCUCCAGAAAAAACUCUCUCUCUCUCUCACGCUACUCCGAUGCAGGAUGCUGACACCAAAAGGUAACAGUCCACUCUAUAAAUUAGGAAACAUAAAGGAAAUGAAAGGGAAUAGUAGAAUGUAUGCCACUCCAUGAAAUCAUAGCAAAGAAAUGAUCAAAAGCUCAUCGGGUUCCGUCGCUAUCACCAUCAUUGUAUCACAGGGAGCUCCACAAAAACUUUACUGUGCUACGCUCUUGCUGCAUGUUCAAGAAGAUCUUUCAAGUGCAGUGGCAGUGAGACCAGCAGUACUCAAUGCCAACAUGGUAUAUAGAUGACAUCUAAGGCAACUCUUCAAAAUAAAAGCUACACUUUGCUGAUUUGUGAUAGAUUUCAGGCUAAUAUUCAUAAUAAGAUGAACAAAACAUAUGCAGGAUCCGCAGGUAAUUCCUAAUAUAUAGAUGCAUGAAAGGCUUGCAUUUAGUGAUAGUCAUGUUUAUAGGUGAUGGGAAGUAGUUCUUAAGGUUUGGCAUAAACAAGAUUUUCGUUGAGCGCAAAGUGAGGUUUUUCAACACUGAAGGAUCGAUGCCACAUUCAUCAGCAUUGGUGGUAAGAAUCUUAUCAAGUUAAUUAGCUCUUCUUGUUUUUUUUUCUCUCUUUUUUUGGGUGUUUAGUCCUGUUUGCCAUACAUGGAAGGCUAUGUCUGUUAAUCUGUGGUUUGGUUGAUUGGACAAAAUAAUAAA